rnacentral:ncRNA from 2 species
CCUCACUCAACGGGGAGCAAAUCAUUCAUCUCAAUGAAUGCUGCUGAGAUCAAGCGUGAGCUUGGGACCCGUAAACCUGAACCAGAUAAUGCUGGCGUAGGAAUUGGGUUAGGAUCUCAG